CCUACGGGAGGCAGCAGUGAGGAAUAUUGGUCAAUGGACGAGAGUCUGAACCAGCCAAGUAGCGUGAAGGAUGACUGCCCUAUGGGUUGUAAACUUCUUUUAUAAAGGAAUAAAACGAGGCACGUGUGCCUUUUUGCAUGUACUUUAUGAAUAAGGAACGGCUAACUCCGUGCCAGCAGCCGCGGUAAUACGGAGGGUCCGAGGGGUUUCCGGAUUUAUUGGGGUUAAAGAGAGGGUAGAUGGGUCGUUAAGGUAGUUGGGAAAGUGUGCGGCUCAACCGUAAAAUUGCCAUUGAAACUGGCAGUCUUGAGUACAGUUGAGGUAAGCGGAAUUCGUGGUGUAGCGGUGAAAUGCUUAGAUAUCACGAAGAACCCCGAUUGCGAAGGCAGCUUACUAAACUGCGACUGACAUUGAUGCUCGAAAGUGUGGGUAUCAAACAGGAUUAGAUACCCCUGUAGUC
rnacentral:rRNA from 1 species